GAUGAACGCUAGCUACAGGCUUAACACAUGCAAGUCGAGGGGCAGCAUGGUCUUAGCUUGCUAAGGCCGAUGGCGACCGGCGCACGGGUGAGUAACACGUAUCCAACCUGCCGUCUACUCUUGGACAGCCUUCUGAAAAGGAAGAUUAAUACAAGAUGGCAUCAUGAGUCCGCAUGUUCACAUGAUUAAAGGUAUUCCGGUAGACGAUGGGGAUGCGUUCCAUUAGAUAGUAGGCGGGUAACGGCCCACCUAGUCUUCGAUGGAUAGGGGUUCUGAGAGGAAGGUCCCCACAUUGGAACUGAGACAACGGCCCAGACUCCUACGGAGGCAGCAGUGAGGAAUAUGU
rnacentral:rRNA from 1 species